rnacentral:tRNA from 1 species
GAAUGUAUAGCUUAAGUGGUGGAGCACAUGCUUAGCAUGCAUGAGGUCCUGGGUUCAAUCCCCAGUACCUCCU